UUCUAUCACGGGAGUGAAUUGAU
rnacentral:siRNA from 1 species